UACGGAGGGUGCGAGCGUUGUCCGGAAUCACUGGGCGUAAAGGGCGCGUAGGCGGCGCGGUAAGCGGGCGGUGAAAGCCCGGGGCUCAACCCCGGGUCGGCCGUGCGGACUGCCGCGCUGGAGCACUGUAGAGGCGGGUGGAAUUCCGGGUGUAGCGGUGGAAUGCGUAGAGAUCCGGAAGAACACCAGUGGCGAAGGCGGUCUGCUGGGCAGUGGGAUCGAAAGGUCCCUUUAACCGACACUGAGGCGCGACAGCGUGGGAGCAACAGG
rnacentral:rRNA from 1 species